GACGAACCGUGCGAACGUUGUUCGGAAUCACUGGGCUUAAAGGGCGCGUAGGCGGACUGUCCAGUCAGGGGUGAAAUCCUGCGGCUCAACCGUAGAAGUGCCUUUGAUACGGGCGGUCUCGAGGGAGGUAGGGGCGUGCGGAACUUCCGGUGGAGCGGUGAAAUGCGUAGAUAUCGGGAGGAACACCAGUGGCGAAGGCGGCUGUCUGGGCCAGUUCUGACGCUGAGGCGCGAAAGCGUGGGGAGCAAACAGGG
rnacentral:rRNA from 1 species